rnacentral:rRNA from 1 species
UACGUAGGGGGCGAGCGUUGUCCGGAGUUACUGGGCGUAAAGCGCACGCAGGCGGUCUGCUAAGUUUGGAGUGACAGUUGGUGGCUUAACUGCCAAAGUGCUUCGAAACUGACAGACUUGAGGGCUUCAGAGGGACACGGAAUUCCGGGUGGAGUGGUGAAAUGCGUAGAGAUCCGGAGGAAUACCAAAGGCGAAGGCAGUGUCCUGGCUGGCAUCUGACGCUGAGGCGCGAAAGCUAGGGGAGCGAACAGG